CGUAAACGUAGUUCUGUAAAAGGGUUGGAUCCGACGCCUCUAGAAGGCUACUAUAGGCUCUCCUUCUCAACUCCUACUCAAUACGUCCACGUCGUGCAGAACGGUAACUUGU
rnacentral:ribozyme from 1 species